ACAUAUGGGGCAAGCGUUGUUCGGAAUUACUGGGCAUAAAGGGUGCGUAGGUGGUCUAUUAAGUCAGGGGUGAAAUCCCGCGGCCCAACCGUGGAACGGCCUUUGAUACUGGUGGACUUGAGUGCGUGAGGGGUAGGGGGAACGAGCAGUGUAGCGGUGAAAUGCGUAGAUAUUGCUCGGAAGGCCAGAGCCGAAGGGGCCCUACUGGUACGUAACUGACACUGAGGCACGAAAGCGUGGGGAGCAAACAGGAUUAGAUACCCUGGUAGUCCACGCCGUAAACGAUGAGCACUAGAUGGAUGUCGAGCUAUCGAUGUCUGUCGGAGACAAUUUGGUAAGUGCUCCGCCUGGGGAGUAUGGUCGCAAGGCUG
rnacentral:rRNA from 1 species